GCGGCAGGCCUAAUACAUGCAAGUCGAGGGGUAACAGGAAGUGCUUGCACUUCGCUGACGACCGGCGCACGGGUGAGUAUCGCGUAUACAAUCUGCCUCAUACUAGGGAAUAGCCCGAAGAAAUUUGGAUUAAUGCCCUAUAGUAUCUUUUUAAGGCAUCUUAUUAGGAUUAAAGUUUACGGUAUGAGAUGAGUAUGCGUUCUAUUAGCUAGUAGGUGUGGUAAUGGCACACCUAGGCUACGAUAGAUAGGGGCCCUGAGAGGGGGAUCCCCCACACUGGUACUGAGACACGGACCAGACUCCUACGGGAGGCAGCAGUAAGGAAUAUUGGACAAUGGGCGAAAGCCUGAUCCAGCCAUGCCGCGUGCAGGAUGACUGCCCUAUGGGUUGUAAACUGCUUUUAUAUAGGAAGAAAAAUUUUCUCGUGAGAAAACUUGACGGUACUAUAAGAAUAAGGAUCGGCUAACUCCGUGCCAGCAGCCGCGGUAAUACGGAGGAUCCAAGCGUUAUCCGGAAUCAUUGGGUUUAAAGGGUCCGUAGGUGGACAAAUAAGUCAGAGGUGAAAUCCUGCAGCUCAACUGUAGAACUGCCUUUGAUACUGUUUGUCUUGAGUUAUUAUGAAGUGGUUAGAAUGUGUAGUGUAGCGGUGAAAUGCAUAGAUAUUACACAGAAUACCGAUUGCGAAGGCAGAUCACUAAUAAUUAACUGACACUGAGGGACGAAAGCGUGGGUAGCGAACAGGAUUAGAUACCCUGGUAGUCCACGCCGUAAACGAUGGUCACUAGCUGUUUGGACUUCGGUCUGAGUGGCUAAGCGAAAGUGAUAAGUGACCCACCUGGGGAGUACGUC
rnacentral:rRNA from 1 species